rnacentral:rRNA from 1 species
CAAAGUGGGUGGUAAACUCCAUCCAAGGCUAAAUACUGGCACGAGUCCGAUAGUAGACAAGUACCGUGAGGGAAAGUUGAAAAGUACUCUGAAGAGAGAGUAAAUAGUACGUGAAACCGGUCGCAGGGAAGCUGGAGGAGUCAAGCUUCAUGCUUGGAGAAUUCUCGUAUGGAGAUGAUGCUGUGCUAAUGGGUCGCAUGCCGGACAGCCUGGAAAGGGUUGGUUGCACUCGUGUGACACAAGUCUGCCCGGGCCGGCUGAUUGUUCCGGUAUGUUGGCUCAGCUCUGUGCGAUCUAUUCUUCGCUGCAUAGACCAUGGUCGAUGGCGUUGUGCUCACGUGCCGUCCGGUUGUCUAACUGUGCUUUGGCGGGCCUCUGGCUCCGCUGAUCGCAGGAUGGCAGUUGGUGUCCGUGGUGCCACCACAGUGGCUACCAUUGGCGCUGAAACCGGUCUCGACUGGCUGAUGGCCGGGCGGUAUCGUCGCUAUCGUUGUUGUGUGGCUGGUUGCCUGCGGGCGGCCCGUUGCUCAGAACCGUGGUCCUGAGGUAGACCUUCC